rnacentral:rRNA from 1 species
AUUGAACGCUGGCGGCAUGCUUUACACAUGCAAGUCGAACGGUAACAGGCCGCAAGGUGCUGACGAGUGGCGAACGGGUGAGUAAUGCAUCGGAACGUGCCCAGUCGUGGGGGAUAACUACUCGAAAGAGUAGCUAAUACCGCAUACGAUCUAUGGAUGAAAGCGGGGGACCGUAAGGCCUCGCGCGAUUGGAGCGGCCGAUGUCAGAUUGGGUAGUUGGUGGGGUAAAGGCUCACCAAGCCAACGAUCUGUAGCUGGUCUGAGAGGACGACCAGCCACACUGGGACUGAGACACGGCCCAGACUCCUACGGGAGGCAGCAGUGGGGAAUUUUGGACAAUGGGCGCAAGCCUGAUCCAGCAAUGCCGCGUGCAGGAAGAAGGCCUUCGGGUUGUAAACUGCUUUUGUACGGAACGAAACGGCUCUGGUUAAUACCCGGGGCUAAUGACGGUACCGUAAGAAUAAGCACCGGCUAACUACGUG